AUGUUCGAGUAUCUAAAUGUUGUCAGCAAGAUGUUUGAUAGUGAGGCCGAAGGCUAUGAAUUCUACAACAAAUAUGCUCUUGAAAAAGGUUUUAGUGUGAGGAGAAGCUACGUUGAGUGGGAUGGAUCCAACAAAUACAUAAUUUUAAGGAAAAUUGUGUGUAGUCGUCAAGGGUUUCGCGAAGAGAAGCACAUAAAAAGAAAGAUGGAAGAUAGAAAGAGGAGGCCACGAAGUUUAACUCGUGUUGGGUGUAAUGCUAAAUUGGUCAUUACGAGACAGGAGGAAACUGGUCGGUGGUUUGUCAAGGAUUUCAUCGAUGAGCACAGCCAUCCUCUAGUCCCACAGGAUCUUUCUUGUCUGCUGCGUUCGCACAGACGAAUUAGCGAUGAGCAGAAAGCGGACAUUGCGGACAUGGAAAAAUGUGGGAUCCGCAAAUACCGUAUUAUGGAUAUUUUUUGCUUUCAAUACGGUGGAUUUGAUAAGGUUGGAUGCAUAAAGAGGGACAUUUAUAAUUUCUGCCAUGCUAAUAAGCAGGAGACAAUCAGUGCCGGUGAUGCUAAUACGGUGAUCAUGCACAUGAUGGCGAGGCGAGAGCGAGAUGUGGAUUUUUUCUUCAAGUACUUGGUAGACGAGCAUGGCCAUCUGAAGGGACUGUUCUGGGCUGAUAGUCAAUCGCGACUUGACUACGAGGCUUUCGGAGACGUCAUUGUUUUCGAUAGCACAUACAGAACCAACAAAUACAAUCUGCCAUUCGUGCCGUUUGUCGGGUUGAAUCACCACCGCAGCACUGUUAUUUUUGGCUGUGGUAUAAUUUCUCAUGAAACAAGCCAGGCAUACGAGUGGAUGUUGCGGACCUUUUCUGAUUGCAUGGCACAGAAGCAUCCGAUAUCUGUGAUCACAGAUGGGGACCUUGCAAUGCAGAGAGCAAUCAGGGUGGUAUGGCCAGACUCAAACCAUAGACUAUGUAUAUGGCACAUUCAGCAGAACAUUGUACGCCAUCUGCAUGAUGACGACGUAAAGGAGGAAUUCAGAUCUUUCAUUUAUGAUACUUCUUCCAUUGAAGAGCAUGAGAUAGAAUGGAUACACUUCUUACAACGGAAUAAAGUAACCAGUGAGGAGUCUUGGCUGCAUCAGAUGUAUCAGAUGAGAAAGUUGUGGUGUGCUCCAUAUCUUGAGGGGCGUUGUUUCCUAGGAUUAAGCAGCAAUCAGAGGAGUGAGAGCUUGAACUCUGUGCUACAUACGCAUCUUGAAGGUAAGAUGUCGUUGUUUGAAAUGCUAGAGCACUAUGAGCGUUGCCUUGCGUUGCGACGGAUUAACGAAGCUCUCCAAGACGUCGAAGCCUUGCAGUCCGUUCCAUUUACAGAGGAAAAUGCUUCGCCGCUUGAGAAACACGCCGCAACAGUUUUC
rnacentral:rRNA from 1 species